CGGGUGACCAAAUCACGCGCCGCAGACCAGCACCCACCACUCCCAUCGCCUUGCCCUCCCCACCCAUCCCAUCCCGUACGGCCCGCCGCCGGCCCGCAGCUCCUCCGUCUCCCCCACAUCCGGUCACCACCGCCCUCCUGCGCGCGCGCCCACCAACCACUCGCUACCCCCGUUCGUCUCCCCUGCCUGAACCCUAGACGCCCCGCGCCACCAGCCGCCGCCGCUAAAUCCAGAUCGCCUGCCGGCAGGGGUCGACCACGACGUGCAGCACGACAGAUCCAGCCCUCGCGCGCUCACCGGUCGCGUCCAAGGUCGUCGACCCAAACCACACAGCGGCAGCGCGGCAGGCUUGCUCGCCGGCACGACGUGCGGCGUCCCGUCUAACUCGCCUGCUCGCCCGCGUCCGUCUGCGCGGGUGGUGGCCGAGGGAAGCCAGGACGACGUCGGCCGGGAGAUGCCGCUUCCUCCUCAUCCUCCGCCGCAGCAGCGUCUCCUACGACGUCGAUCUGCACUCCGUCGGCUAGGACACCCGGACACCGUGAGAUUAGCCCCCCGGCUCCAUUUCCUCCGACGUUGAACCAGGUCGCGCCCGCACGACGCCGGUAGGUCACAAAGACUUGAAAUCUCCUGAGAAAUUUAACCACCAUGUCUGCUGCUAUGGUUGCUGUAUGUUUUCAGCGAGGUCAUGUUGGUGUCUUGUGGUGGCGUUUUGUUGGUGGUGCUGUCCAUGGAGAACAACUCUUCAGCGAAGAACAACAUUUGAUUUUGCUCAGGUCAAACAUUUUAUCAAGAAAAUGCAGGUUGUGUUGAUCAGAUCUGGUGUAGUAAAUCACCAUGUUCAUAAAUAGUAGUAAAUCAUCUACACAUGUAUGUGCCUUUGUCGAAUCUUAUCUCUGAGAUGUCCAGUUUGAUUUACUGCAUUA